CACCCCCAUGGAACUCUCACAGCGCUUUGGAUUUUCGGCCGUCCGAUCGAGCUGACGUGGCGCGAUCUCGGCCGGCCGUUCGUCCAGGGCGCUGAGGCCCUCCCGCAGACCCACUUUUUAUGCAUGGGUCGUGUGAAAGCCCGCUCGGCCCAGACUCUCGCGUCGGGCGUGGCUUCCUCUCCAAUCCCGUCGCUCCCUCUCCCUUCCAAUCCCGCAGAUGCAGCCGCCGCCUCCCCAGCUCCCUCUCCCUGCUGCCGAGCUCGCCUUCGGCCGCCGCUCGCCCCGCGGAAAAUAUGUUCUCCGCGCGGGGUGGUUCCGUCUUCUCCUUCGGUGGCCGGUGCGGGCUGCUCGGUGGCGGCACACCAUUAGCACACGGGCCUCGCGCCCCCAAUCCCCAAUCCCCAACUCGGAUGGAAAACCCUAGCCGCCGCCUGCACAAUCCCCUCGCGUUCUCCUCCUUCCCAACCUCGAUUGAACCUUCUCCUUUAGCCUCGGGCGGUGCCGCUCCGUAUCCUGGUUCCCCGCAGCCGAUCUCACGCGCCCCUCCAUCCCUUGGUUCCCUCCUUUCCGGCUCUCAGCAGGAGGUUCAUGGGCUGCCGCUUGAGCUGCUCCUCAGGCCGUUGGUGGUUAGCGCUAAGAAGAAUUGUCAGCAGCAAAGAUGGAGGAGACGUGAAGAGGCAAUUGAUGACAGAGUAGGCAGAAAGAUUAUCGGGGCUUCUCCUGCCAGCCUCCAGCCUCUCUUCGGCUCAGACGGCGGCCGGCGCCGGCGGCCGAAGUGGCUCUGCCCCUCAUCCCCGACUCAUCUUUCUCAUGCAUAGAGGCUGGAGGAGGGCUUCAACGGUGCAGGUCCUAGCUCUUCCUCUCUCUCUCUCUCACACACACCCUCACUCUUGAUAUUUAUUUUGGUGCAAGGCCAAACGGAGAUGCAGCAUUCGGUCAGGCCAAUAACUGAUGGAAUAGGACAAGUGAACUUGUUCCCUUGCAAGGACCUCAUACAGAAAAAUACACAACUCAGCAUAUUAGUGCUAAUCUGUAGUAUCCAUUUUUCCAAUAUCUUCUCCUUUGAAAAUUAGCUGGAGUAAUAUUCCCCUUUCUGUUUUGGAGGUACAUGGGCAAAGCUUGCCUCGCUCCUGCUCUGCCUCUGCGUCGUACUCGACAUUCAAUAGGAGGAUCAUGUGCUGCUUGCAUUCUUCCAUAUUGAGACAGGUUGUUGAGAGCAAUUGGCAUGGGAGACACCAGCGACUGAUGGCGCGGGCUUUGUUCAAGGCUCACUGCAGAAACCAACAUCUCUACAGUUUACUUGGCAUGGCUGGCAUCGAACACUUCAAUGACCAGCAGUCCAGCACACUGGUGUGGCCGAUGUCCCAGCUAGACUGGGAAAUAUGAAAUGUCUGUCCUCUUUUUCUACAGAUUUAGGUUCAUCACGUACUUCACAAAGCCUUUGUCGCCGCUAAGUUGGCAUUGUUGUUUUCUUAGCUAUGCCUACAGUCUACAGAAAAUCCUAUUUCGAUCAAGAAAAUUGUGUUAUCAUGCGUACUUAAGUUAUACAAGACUUAACCUCUGGAAUAGGAAAAUUUGGGAGCUAGACCUUACACCGUAAAGGUCAGUGUAUAUCAGUUUAUGUAACAUUUUAGUAUGAGCCUGCUAUUUGUUGCCAUGUAAUCUCAAGUAUAUAAUUUAUCUUUCUGCUCGCUGGUCUUAUAUUUUUUGGAAUACUGAAAUGACGAGGAUCAAAGGGUAUCAUAAUGUUUUUAAUUCUUCCAGUGUUUUUUUUGGCUACCGAGAGUUGAGUUUUUGAAGAAAAAUACGGUAUUUGCUGAUUCUUCUGCAGGUUGAUUUGGACUCAUUUACCAAAGAUAGAGAGAGGCAGGCUGCUCCGCAUCCCCAUUCAUCAUCGUUUACUUGCUCUCUCUCUCGGAUCUGGGCCGAUCGCCUUCGUCUCCCAAGACGCUACUUGCUGCUAAAUCCCUUGCUCGACCUUGCCACCUCAAUCCUUGCUCGAUCUUGCCACCUCAAUCUCCUUCCCGACCACGUGGAGGUCGUGCCAGAAGAUUUUCCCUACGCCCCUGCCUUGCUCAACCAUGUGGAUGUAGCGUGGCCACUACUUUUUCGUGGUUGUCUUGCUGGAGAUUGAUGCCCGGGGGGAUUGCUGGUGAGAUUCACUGCUUGGCUGGAUUUAAUGUCCUGCUCGAUUCUUGAAUUAGAUUGUUUCAUGGAUUAGGUAUGUACCACUGGCCUUAUAUUCACCAUGUUCCUCCACACUGGAUUGUUUCGAGUUCAAAUAACUUCAGUUGCUGCUUUCUGAAUUUCAUGGAACAAUUAUUUAUCCUUCGCAUGAAAAGAAAUACUAUGGCCUGGAUUGGUUUGAUUUUCAUGUAGUAGUCAUAGUUCUUUUCUUUGGACUUCACACUGGCAGUUAUGUUUAUAAUUUUUAGUAAUUUCAUUAGCAGUCGAAUUUGGAUGUUAUAUAUUUAGAAUGAUGAUGCUUGCUCCUUGCUGAUGCUUAAAUGAUGGUGUCAAUUGGUGCAUAUCUCUUCACGGCCUAUUUUUCUAUACAUUAAAUUUUCAGGGAUUAUGCAUGGAAGAUCUUUAGAUGUCAUUUAUGUUUAGGAGUCAAGCUGUAGCGCCUCGAAGCCGGCGAUGUAGCAGCCUCCAUCUGUGAGCUGCAAGGCGUCGAACUGCUCCAUCUCCAAAGGACCAAGACAUUCCAUGGUAUCCCCUUUACUCUGAAGGCUAAUUCCCAUAUUCAGCUGAUUACUAACACUCAAGUACCAAUUUGGUACAUACAACACUGAUGGUACAUUGUACAAGUGCAGGCUCCCCAAUAUAUAGAUGAAGCUUGGUACCAACUUGGAUGAUCGCAUGGUAUAUCAACCAAUUAGAGAAAUGACCGAUGUAAACUUGUUUUGUCCUGUAGUAGUAUCUGAUUCAAUACGAAGAUAACCAGGUCACCUCUUUUUCUGCAAGACUUUGGACUGGCAACCUGCAACAACGCUCAUACCACCUUUACUUGCUUUUCCCUGUGCUGUAUUACUGUAAACUUUGAAGGUCUGUAGAUAUCAUACUAUUGCUUGAAAUAUCAAUUGAGGGUUUGCUACUAUUGUAUAUUGGUUGUAUAUAAAUGUUUCCUUUUUUGUUUGUAA